UAUAAAUUUUGAUGACUGCCGUAGACAGUAGGUAUAGAUGGUCCUUCGGGAUUUCAGAUGUGUAAGUGCAAGAGCCGCCUACCGAGGAGUAAAGAAUGUGGAUUUACGUCCCCUCUUUUUGCUAUGGCGAGAAGAGGGGGUUUUCUAUAUUACG
rfam:Roseburia sp. CAG:309 genomic scaffold, scf466